UACAGAGGUCUCAAGCGUUGUUCGGAUUCAUUGGGCGUAAAGGGUGCGUAGGUGGCGCCGUAAGUCAGGUGUGAAAUCUCGGGGCUCAACCCCGAAACUGCACUUGAUACUGCGGUGCUCGAGUACUGGAGAGGAGAUUGGAAUUUACGGUGUAGCAGUGAAAUGCGUAGAUAUCAGGAGGAACACCAAUGGCGAAGGCAGCUCGCUGGGACGUGACUGACGCUGAGACGCGGAAAGCGUGGGGAGCAAACAGG
rnacentral:rRNA from 1 species